rnacentral:rRNA from 1 species
UACGUAGGGGGCAAGCGUUGUCCGGAUUUAUUGGGCGUAAAGAGCGUGUAGGCGGCCACACAGGUCUGCUGUGAAAACUCGAGGCUCAACCUCGAGCUGUCGGUGGAAACCGUGUGGCUAGAGUCCGGAAGAGGUGAGUGGAAUUCCCGGUGUAGCGGUGAAAUGCGCAGAUAUCGGGAAGAACACCCGUGGCGAAGGCGGCUCUCUGGGACGGUACUGACGCUGAGACGCGAAAGCGUGGGGAGCGAACAGG